GAAGUACUCCCUCCGUUCGGAAUUACUUGUCACAGAAAUGGAUGUAUCUAGAUGCAUUUUAGUUCUAGAUACAUCCAUUUCCGAGACAAGUAAUUCCGAACGGAGGGAGUAUUUC
rnacentral:pre_miRNA from 1 species